rnacentral:rRNA from 1 species
GACGAACGCUGGCGGCGUGCUUAACACAUGCAAGUCGAACGGAAAGGCCCAGCUUGCUGGGUACUCGAGUGGCGAACGGGUGAGUAACACGUGGGUGAUCUGCCCUGCACUCUGGGAUAAGCCUGGGAAACUGGGUCUAAUACCGGAUAUGACCAACUGUCGCAUGGUGGUUGGUGGAAAGCUUUUGCGGUGUGGGAUGGGCCCGCGGCCUAUCAGCUUGUUGGUGGGGUAAUGGCCUACCAAGGCGACGACGGGUAGCCGACCUGAGAGGGUGAUCGGCCACACUGGGACUGAGACACGGCCCAGACUCCUACGGGAGGCAGCAGUGGGGAAUAUUGCACAAUGGGCGCAAGCCUGAUGCAGCGACGCCGCGUGAGGGAUGACGGCCUUCGGGUUGUAAACCUCUUUCACCAGGGACGAAGCGUGAGUGACGGUACCUGGAGAAGAAGCACCGGCCAACUACGUG